CCAUGAUCCAUUAACCCAGGCCUUGCUGGGAAGGGGCCCAGAAAGCCAGAGCGUCCAGGCAACCCAGGUGAUUGUUAUACUCAGGAAGCUUUCAAAAAUACCUCUAGAUACAAGAAAUGCUCAGCUGCAGAGAAGCAUCCAUCAAGAGUCUAGCAGCAUGUCAAUAAAGGCCCAGCGAACGCCCUCAACCAAUUCCUCCAUCUACAAGAAAAUACCCAAAGAGGGAACGUCAAAGCCAAGAAGCUUCAGUCGAGGUUUUCUGGAACAAAAUUGGCUUGCAUGAGAAAUGACUCUUUACUCAACAUGGUCUGACCAGAUCUGCUUGACAAGACUGUGGCUGAUAAUAUGUGGCAAAGGCAACACUGCCCAAUGCUAGCCAGAAAUGGAGAAAACAAACAAGAAAGGUGAGCCAAUGUGUCAUCGUCGUGGCAGCACACUCAAAGACAAGGACAAGAGUGAAGAAAACAAAGGUAAGAGGUCAAGGUACUUCCAAGAAUGUGUCAAAUCCAGGACUAACAUCUGGGUUUUCAGAUUCCAGAACUUGCAUUUGCUCGUCUUGGUCAUACUAUCUGAAGUGAGCCACAGAGGCUCUUCUUAAAGGUUCUCAAAGCCAGAGAUCUUCCUACAGGCUGCCUAGAGGCUUAUGUAAGGCAGUGAUUCUGAAAGUGUGUCCCUGAGCCAGCAGCUUCAGCGUCAUCUGAGAACUUGUUAGAAAAUUCCUAGGCCUUACCGCCAGACCUGCUGAAUCAGAAUCUGUGGGGUGGGGGGCCAGCAGACUGUAUUUUAGCAAACCCUCCAGGGGAUUCUGAGGCGUGUCAGGUUUGAAAACAGCUGGUCUAGGAAAACUCCAUCUCCGCAUCGUUCUGCACACACAGCUCAACUAGGACUUCCUAAAUCCCACAUCAGUGCUUCUUAAACUUGAAUGUAUAUAUGAGUCCCCUGGGGAUCUUAUUCAAUUUCAGCCUCUGAUUCAGUAGGUCUGGGGCAGAGCCCGAGAGUCUGCAUUUCUGACAAACUCCCCAGUAAUGUCUCUGCUGCUCAUCUGUAGGCCAUUCUUUGGCUAGCAAGACCCUAGAUCACUCUCAGAAGAGCUGGCCCCCAGGAGAGGUCCACAUAACAGCACAUUUUCCAGGUCAUCCUUUGGGAACAUGCAACAAGAAUCAUCUUACUUUAAUGUACAUUGUACUUGCUUUAUAUGAAAAUAAAACUAAAGACAGGAAUACUUACAGGGUCCUUGACAAAACUCCAAGGGUUUGCUCUAGGCCAGUCUGCUAAAAAACAAAACAACAACAACAACAAAAGAAAACAGUCCUGGCGCAGAUGAUCUCCAUGGAUCCAGCCCUGGCCUGCAAGAGGAAAUCACGUCAGCUCCUCCUGAUGCCAACCUUCCUUGGCCUCUCCUCCUCCCACUCUUACUCCUCAGAUAAAAGUAGAUGGGAAGUGUCUGAGGCAGCCUCGAGUCAGGAGUGAGGAGGAGAA
rnacentral:lncRNA from 10 species